UUCCGGCUGGCUCAGUCAGAAGGGCGUGUGACUCUUGAUCUCAGGGUCAUGAGUUCAAGCCCCAUGUUGGGUA
rnacentral:tRNA from 1 species